UGGACGAAAGUCUGAUGGAGCAACGCCGCGUGAGUGAAGAAGGGUUUCGGCUCGUAAAACUCUGUUGUUAAAGAAGAACAUAUCUGAGAGUAACUGUUCAGGUAUUGACGGUAUUUAACCAGAAAGCCACGGCUAACUACGUGCCAGCAGCCGCGGUAAUACGUAGGUGGCAAGCGUUGUCCGGAUUUAUUGGGCGUAAAGCGAGCGCAGGCGGUUUUUUAAGUCUGAUGUGAAAGCCUUCGGCUCAACCGAAGAAGUGCAUCGGAAACUGGGAAACUUGAGUGCAGAAGAGGACAGUGGAACUCCAUGUGUAGCGGUGAAAUGCGUAGAUAUAUGGAAGAACACCAGUGGCGAAGCGGCUGUCUGGUCUGUAACUGACGCUGAGGCUCGAAAGUAUGGGUAGCAACAGGAUUAGAUACCCUGGUAGUCCAUACCGUAACGAUGAAUGCUAAGUGUUGGAGGGUUUCCGCCCUUCAGUGCUGCAGCUAACGCAUUAAGCAUUCCGCCUGGGGAGUACGGCCGCACGCUGAACUCAAAGGAUUGACGGGCCCGCACAGCGUGGAGCAUGUGGUUUAUCGAGCUACGCGAGACCUACAAGUCUUGACUACUAUGCAAUCUAGAGAUAGACGUCC
rnacentral:rRNA from 2 species